GGCAUUGGGUAGAUGGGUGUUUAGAUGGGGUGAGGUAGGUGGGUAAGGGGGUGGGUGGUUCGGCUGAUGGCAAGACUAGAUGACUUGGGCCAAUGCACACCUGUCUUCUCCCGGCUGCUCUGAGUAGCAAGCACCUGCCCCACAGGAUGCAGUUAGCCGAAUUUUAAAUUGAGCCCGUGUCAUUCGCUAAUUAUUCCCUGCGGGUCUCACCUCCUUCAUGGAAGGGGAAACGCCUUCUCCUCUGUCUCUCCCAUCACUCCCGUGCCUCUAUUUUUGGAGCUAAAACUCAGGACAUCUGGUCCGACGAGGAAGAGGUACUCCUCGGACAGGAGGACAAGUGAAUCAGGGCUGCCCCGGGACUGCGAGGUCCUGCCUCCCAGACCAGCCUAAAGAGCGUCAUGUGUAUGCCACAUAGGAACCCCAGAAAUCUCAAACGGAAACAGGCAGGGGAGAGCUUGCUGGAGAAGCCUAUGACAAUGGGCCAGGCCAGGCCUGGAGAUCCCCAAGGAGUCCUGCAUGCUCUAGCCCUCAAGGCCCUUGGAAUAGGAAGAAGCCUCCUUAGAAAAGGAAGACAUCGGACGCCAGAGAAAAUAAGGCCAGUGGGACAGUAUAACAGGACUUCGGAUGUUCAGAGGGGAGUGGAACAGCCCUCAUGGGCUCCCAGUGUUUGUACACACGGUGCGUACAUGUGCACACAGAUGCAUGCAUGCUCAGAGAAAGGCCUCCAGAAAUUGCCCUAACUUGGUCCUGCUUUCAUGGAAAUCCACUUCCAUGGACACCUGGGGGCAAGAGGGACUGUCCCCUGCCUGCCAAAUACUUCCAGGUCCCCUCCAUACACCUCUGCCCCUCUCAGGGUAGAGUGGAGCUACCCUCCGUCUGGUUUCCUGCAGCCAGACUCACAUCAAGUUCUGCCUCUGCCUCCUGCCACUGCUUAACCUUGCACAAGUCCCUUUGCUUCCCCGAGCCUCAGUUUUCUCAUCUGUAAAAUGAAGGGCGGGCCUGGAGAGUCCCCGAGGCCCUCUGCAGCGCUAGCAUCUGGACCGUGGGGGGCUGCUGGGCUCUCAGGUGGAGACAAUUUCCCAGAUCACUGAGCCCCACCUGGCCACCGUUGUACGAGGGCCUCCCCUGGGCAUUGGCCGUCUGGAAACACCGCCAUCCACCUUUGUGAAUAUCUGGUUAAAACACUCACCUAAUCCUAACCUAAUCCUUUCAAUUUGGGGAGAGAAUUGAAGAAAAAAAACGCUAGCAGCCUGAAGCCUGAAUGCUAACAGAUGGGUAAAAAGUAUGUAUAAAUUACACCCGCUGCUGUCAAUUCAAGCUCUCCAGAUAAAGUGAUAUGAAAGGUGUUUCAUUUAUAGGGGAAAUUAAUUGCCAGCUGUAUGACGGGAUGGUGUGAAGGAACCACAGCCACAUGAUGUGUCCCAUAUAUUUUUCCUGGCUGGAUUCAGUAACUUCCGUGCCAAGGGCUCCCACUCGACUCCAGACCUGGGGGGCCACCAGGGUAACAUGACUCUACACCAACUGUUCCCAAGUUAGGGUGCAGCCAGGGAAGCAUCAGACGUGGUGGGCACACAGGGCAUUGGGAGGCCGAGUGGCCUCCUCCCCUCCACCAGCCUGACCUCAUGGGCCUCCAUUUCCUCAGGGCGGCUACUUAAGGUGGGUCUCAUGUUGUGGUGAAGAGAUGUCUUCUAGUCCGUCUGUGCCCAGACCAGACCACAUGGCAGUCAUCUCUGUGUCCCUCCCCAUCAUGCCAAGCACCCUCGCACAUCUGUUAUGUCAACAGAGAACACUGGCAUCUGGGAAACAUAGUUUAUUCUUGUGACCACCCACACUGCACCCUCUAGUCUCAGUCUCCAUACCUGUAAAGUGAGUCUGUUUUAGCUUGGGCUGCCGUAAUGAACUACUACUGACCGGGUGCCUUAAACAAAAGACAUUUCUUUCUCAAGGUUCUGGAGGCAGGGAAGUCCAAGAUCAAGGUGCUGGCAGAUGGAGAUCCUGGGGAGAGCCCCCUUCCUGGCUUGCAGAGGGCCGCUGGGCCCUCACCUGUGCCCUCACCUGGUGGAAAGAGAGAACUCUGGUCUCUUCCUCUUCCUACAAAGGCAUUCAUCCCAUCACGGAGCCCCAUCUAAACCUGAUCACCUCCGAGAGGCCCCACCUCCAAAUACCAUCACACCGGGGGGUCAGGGUCUCAAUAUAUGAAUCUGGGGGGUCGCAAAACUUCAGUCAUAGGAGGGGCACUUAGCUGGAAUGUCCACACUUCCUGUGCCAGUGUGCUACUCGGCAUAUGAGUCUCAUCAUUCCUGUCACGAAGAGAGACCAGGAGGCUCUCUUUGGAGGAAAUGGAAGCAGCAAGGAUGGGCCUGGUGCCUGCCUGAGUGGUCUUCCUCCGAGAUUAUUUAUGAGGAAAGGAGGUGGGCCUCCCAGGGAGAGGCUACCUUCCUGGGACUUCCUUUGGAAGACUGGGACAAAGGAUGUGGCCGGGGCGGGGAGGUGGUGUUCUGGUAAAGCCAAGACAGUUUGCACCCCGUGACCCUCGUUUCCGUGGGACCUGCCCCAUGGCCAACCCCACUAAAAGCGCCCUCAGGAUCGCUUGGUGAAGACGGCCUUAUCCCAGAAUCAUUUCUGAGGAGGGCAGACUGAGGUUCUGAGAGGCCUCCCAGCUCUCAGACCACUGGUCGGUGGCCAUGCAGAAACUGGCCCUAGUGCUCUGGCCCCGUAAGCCUCCAGUUUGGGAAACUGCUCCCUUUCCUCCUUUCCCUGCCAUCUCCUCCUUUACUUCUUGGGUGGGAGGUGGGCCUGGGGUGCGGGGAGGAGUCUCCACCCCAGCCCCCAGCCCCAUCACGCACCCACCCAUCAGCUGCUUGUAGGCGGUGGGGUCUUCACGUUCUACCUAGGGAGGGGGACAAAGGGUAGGCUUUCCAUCCUGUGCCCCUGCAAGCAUUUAUCAGAACUAUUAAGACAAUGAGCUAAUAUUCUAUUCGGAUUUAAAUAAUAAAUUAAUCUGCAUUAUACUGAGGAGACCUGAGAGAGACUUAAUUAUCUGGUGUACUUUAGGGUGGAAAGGAAGGUUGGGGACCGUGCUGGGAAUAGACAAAGUUAUCCGUGAUCACACAGAUGCGGGAGCUUAAAUGCCAGCCCCGGGCUGACAGAGUAGGGAAGUGUCCCCACUCUGCCUAGCCCCGAAACUCCCUCCCUCCCACAUCAUGGGGAGGGUGCCUCUGUCUCUGACCAUCCCUCCCAGGCCCCCCCACCCCGGGGAAUACAGAUUCUCACAUCAAUUGUCCUAAGCCUGAAGCAGGCAGCAGCCCAGGAGAGGAAUUAGGAAUCAGAGACCCUUUACAGACCCAAGUGUUUGCUGGAGAUGUGCCAGGCCGUGGUGUCCUCACCAGUCAAAAGGGAUAACAGAACGCUCCCUGGAGGGCUGGGGCAGACAGCUCUGCCUGGCGCACAAUCCCACCUCUGCGGCUUCAUCGCUGUGUGACCUUAGGCGGCCUAAUUUACUUCUCUGGGCCUCAGUCUCCACAUCUGUGAAAUGAGGGUGCCGCCAUCUGUGUCCAGGCUGACAGGAGGCUUAGAAGCUGCAAGGUGUGCCGCUUCAGCGCAGCGCCCACGGGCAGGAAGCCCUCAGGAAACGAGGAGGCGCAGAUGCGAGUCUAAAGUGGGAGCAUUUGAGGAGCACAGUGAGCUGUGCCGGGUGAGUCUGCGGUUACCCCGUCUUACACAGACUUAGCUUAUCCUUGAGCAGGGUUGGAGAGCUGGCGCUCGCGUUCUUCAGCUAAGCUAGCGAGCCCCAGGCCUGUGGUUAAUUUUUUUCUUUCCCCUGGCUGGUUCCUGCCACUCCCUGGGAGCGGAGCUUUUCACACCCUGAGCCAGCCUGCCCGAGAGAGAGAGAGAGAGAGAGAGAGAGAGAGAGAGGACUAUUUUCAGCUCAGCAGCUACAGCAACAAAGAUGUGAAGUCACUCCUGCUGCCUCCAGCUCACCCUGCCUGCCCUCCCCGGCCCAGGGGAGAGGUGAGUGAGAGGCAGGUGGGCUGCGGCCUGGGGGUCCUGGAGCACCCCCGCCCACCCACAGCCCCUCCAUCCCGUGGCCCCGGAGAAGCACCGCUCCCUGUCCAUCCUGGGCCAUAUCCACUAGUUCUCUUUCCCUCCCUGCAGCUCUCAAAGUUGAGAUGGGGCUCUGCCUGGGACAUUGGGGUCCUCCUGGGGUCUGUCCCUCCGGAAGACACCAGGAUGGGCUAGGGAGCCGAGGGCCAGGGUGUCCGUGGAGGUUGAAGCAAAGGGCGUGCCCUCCUGUGCAGGGAGCUGCCUGGGAGCUGGGUGUGUAGCUGGGAGGUAGGUGUGCGUGAUGACGUGGGGGCAGCGGGAGGCACCUGAGAGAUGAAUCAUCGCAGAGAACCCAGGCGAGUGGGUGUUGCCGAGAUCCUGAGCUGGGAAGAACUUGAUCAUUUGUUAGGUUCAAACCCUGUCAGUUGUCUCAGUCAGGCUGCCAAGAAAACUAAGGAUUGGAGACCUUCCUAAGACGAGAGAGAAACUUAGCGGCCAAGGGAACUGAAAUCAGACAGGACGCACAGGAGCUACUGCUGGCUGUGGAGCGGAGGUUGCGGUGGCCUCACACACCCAGACUAGAACUACAGGCAACAGUGCCCUGAUGCAUCAGACACAUAAGCCAGAAGCACCCCCCCACACCCCCAACACACACACACACACACACACACACACACACACACACACACUAUCCUGGUAUCCUGGCCUGGAGAACAGGGCUGCAAGCUGUCACUGGUCCACCAAAUAAACCCAGGGGGUCCUGUGAGACAUGCCAACCCCAUGGCUUCUAGAUGCUCCUGUUCUUCACUUGGAGAAAAGUCAGCAGGAAGAGUUCCUCCUUAUCUCAGCUCAACUAAAACGGGGAUUUGUCCACAGGCAGCCAGGAUGCUGAGGGUCCAAGUCCUAAAAUAUGGGGUCUGGUGAGAACACCACCCUCCCAUCCCCCAAAGGGGGACCAAGACAAGCGCUGACAGCGGCUGGGAGAGACGGGAGCCACCUUGAGAGAGGGCAGGACCCUCACCACAUCCUGUGGACUUGUCAUUCCUCCCACCUGGGGUUUUGGAGGAGGUGGUCCAAAGAUCUGGGUCUCCACUGCCACCACAGCCAAGCUGCCAUCCUCGCCCAUGGCAGACAAGGGACUAAGGCACGUGCUAUCCCUGCUGAGGACAUCAGCAGGGAAGAAAAGUGGGGGCCGGAGCUAGGGGCCAGUGUUCCAGGGUGGCCUUGGUGGCUGUGUCCCCAGCUAGACACUGGGGAGACUUGGGAGAUUCAGUACAGGGACAAGAGUCUCCCCCCACUCCCUCUGCUGAGAUAGGCAGAGGUGGUAGGUGUUCUUCCAUCAUAGCUGUGGUCUCCCAACACAUCCCACUGUGAUGCAGUCCCCAAAGACCUGGGCUUCUGGUGCCUCCUGUCAACCCACUGGAGAGGAGAAGCACCAGCACGCCCCCAGGCCCACCUCCCCUCUGCACAACACGCCUUGCUGGGGUAAUGAAGCAAUUGACCCCACUCUCAGGGGUGGGAAGGACAGGAAGAUCCACAGCCAAGCCCUCUGUUUUGUCAGCUUCUGCCCUUGGGGACAGGAGCCCCAGAAGGCCCCCCCCACAAAGAAGAUGAUGGGUGACUGUGCCCCCUCCCCCAGAUGAGUAGCAGGAGUGACCCUGGGCUUCCAACCAUUGGUGGGCUUUGUUGGAUGAUCCUUGGAAGUCAAAUCCCAGUGUCACAACUGCAAUUAAUAGAGUGCAGAUGCCAGAAACCAGACUCCAGAACUUUCCUUGAGCAUUGCACCCAGAAAUGGGUGCUCCUUCAUCCUCAGAGUAACCCAAGGCCUUGUUGUUUAAGCCUGUCAUUGGGCAGCCAAUCACGUAUGCCCUUGAAACAUCACUUUUCUUUUUAUUCGGCACUAUUAAUUAACUCUUGUAUUAUUAAUUCGCUUUUUAUGGUUUAUGUUUCAGAGUUUAUGUGCAGCUUCUCUUCUGCCCAACAAAACUAUAAGCUCCAUGAAGCCAGACACCAAGCCUUAUUUUUGUCUGUCUUACCCGUGGCAACUAGCAUGCUAAAUAGUGCCUUAUGUGUAGUGAGUGCUCAAUAGGAUUUCUCUAUUUAGAACCUUCCAGACUCAACCUCUUACAGGCAUUUCAAGUCCUGGAGGAGCUUGGCCAGUUUCAAAGACUGGUUUCAACAAACCCAGCCACCUUCCACGGCUCCAGACAUGUGCCACUCAGCCUACUUCUCUGUCUCUCCUUUCAUUCCAAAAGAGAUAGAUUCAUAAAACCUCAGAGAGAGGAUGAAACUUGGAAACCAGGUGGUCUGGUUUCGUACCAGCUGUAGGAGUACUCUCCCCAGCGUUUCUCCCAAAUGGUCAGUUGGUCUUUGUGUGCACGCGCCUUCCAACAGGGAUCGGGAUCUCCCCACUUGCCAGGCAGCCCAUUCUGUAGUUGGCCAGGGCUUAUGAGAUGUUCCAAGACACAGAUAGUUGUGGCCACCACGUGGCAUUUGGAGAUAGUUUCCUAAAACAAAGGUUCAAACAACAAUGGUUCUGUGGUCACUAGUGCUCUUAGUUGCUCACUGUGUGCUCUGCUGGUGUGACUUGUGUGACGGGGGCACAGACGGAGUGGAAGCUGUGAUCCUUGUGUCAAGCAGCAUUCAGUCUAUUUGGGGGGCAGACAAUGGGAAAAUGAUGGUCCUUUACAGAGGAAAACAUCAACUGCUACGUCACAGUGUAGGACUGCAGGCCACCGUGUCUGGGUCUUGUCCCCAUGUCACUUCUAACUGCUGGGUGCUUUGGAACAGCUCCUUCCCUAGGCAGGGGCCUAGUGUCUCCACCUGCAGAAAGAAGGGGUGGGUUCAGAUGAUCUCCCAAACUUCUUCUGGCUCUCGCAGUCCUGGAAGCACCCUAACUUCUUUUUUUUAAAUUAUUUUUUUACCUUUAUUUAUUUUUGAAAGACAGAGAGAGACAGAGCACAAGUGGGGGAGGGGCAGAGAGAGAAGGAGACACAGAAUCCGAAGCAGGCUCCAGGCUCCCAGCUGUCAGCACAGAGCCCGAUGCGGGGCUCAAACUCAUGGACUGUGAGAUCAUGACCUGAGCCGAAGUCGGACGCCCAACCGACUGAGCCACCCAGGCGCCCCAAGAAGCACCCUAACUUCUUAAGGAGACAUCAGCACAGGAGGCACUGAACUUGAGAAGGUAGAGGGGUGGCACCCCACUGUGCACAUCCCAGACACAUGUUACGUCACUCCAACAGCAGGCAGUGUCUGGUUCAUUCUGUCCGUUGGACAUACAUAGAGUGCCGGAGGCACGUGUGGGUGGCAAUAGAAUUCCUGUGAUGUGCCUACCCCGGAUGGAGACAGGAGCCGGGCAUUCGAAAGAAACUUAGCAGUAGUGAGUUGCAAGCUUCCUUCUAACCAGGAGCAAAUGGAAAGAGCAUAGAAUAUAAAGAGUAUAAAGGUGCUGAGAGGCCAUAGUAAGAAAAGCCUUGGAGGCAGGAAGUCUCUUCCUACAACAGGCGACUAUUGAGGAGGGUACAAGCAGGAAGUGGGAGAUGCUGGCCAUGUCUCUGGGGUAGAGCCAGUCUCUCCACACACGGAGGACUCACCAGGGCGGCAGCCAUAUACAGGCAUGCAUCCUGGUGGCUGUCCUUGGGGGCAGUCCAAGAGAUGACCCUGAAGCAGUAAGAGAGAGUCCCCUCGUUCUCAGGUAUGACACCCAGUGCCGCUCUUUGUAUGGACAUUUUUACCAUUUUACAAUGGCACACCAGCUUGCGUAGCAGCAUACCAGUCUCACGAUCCCUGCCGCUGGGGGUGGCUUUGCCUGAUCCACACACGAGCGGCCUUCGGCAAGCAUGGUUUGCAGCCGUUGUUUAUAAAGUUGGAGGAUGGGAUAGCCCAGCCAUGA